CCGGGUGGACCGCCGAAUCCUGCCGCCGCCCGGGAACCGCACCCGACUACCAUCGCGCGCGGCAGGAGCGGGGGAACCAGGUAAGCCGCUGUUCCGGAUCCAUGUCCGGGACGGCUCGGGGUGAAGCCGUACAUGUGCUGUUCAUGUACGGCCGGACAUCUCCAGUCCGAAUCCGACAGCUCACCUCGCAGGCGACGGAGAGGAAAU
rnacentral:sRNA from 2 species